UCUCUGGAUAGUUCCCCACCACUCCCUCACAAUCUCCUCCGUUCCCCAUUCUCUCCACCAUAGCCAGCGCUCCCUGGUCAGGCCGCCCCCUCCCCUUCGUCACCAUCGCCGGCGCUCCCUGGUCAGGCUGCCCUCCCCUUCGUCACCAGCGCGGCCGCUCUCUCACACCCCGUAGGUCAAAGGUUGAAUUUUUAUCCGCCGCUGAUGGUGCUGCUGGGCGAGGAGGCGCUGGAUGCGCGUGCGCCGGCGCUGGAUCUGCUCCGUCUGGCUCCGGCGACCUUACCCCGUGGCUCCGGGACAGGAAGGCUACCCCGACGACAUACAGCAACUGGACUCUAUGCACAGCGAGGAGGAUGAAGACACCCAGCCAUGGAUUUUUAGCAGCACUCACUCAAGGAAAAAGAGACCUCAACACGCCAAUGGAUGCAGCCAGCCUCCAACUCACCACGCACCUGCACCAACUUGAUGUAGGGAGAGGAGGAGUGAGGCUUCUCUCACGGGAUGACGCCCAGCCAUGGGGCAGCAACAAUCCAAGAUUGCUGUCAAAAUAAGCCUAAAUUCAGAGUCUUCGGAAGUCAAUUACUUUGAGCCUUUGAGUUAGGAGGUAUACCAGUCUCUUUGUAGUUUGCUCUUAAUAAACUCUUCCCUUGGCCAUGAUGAGAUGUUUAAGUCUUUCCACUUAUCAGUUUUUAGUUCCACUUGAAGCGAUGCAUAUUCGAAUACAUUUUCUAGUCCUUUGAGCUGUUGAAUGAAUAAAUGAAAAAGUAUUAGCAUCACAACCGAACAAUAACAGAAAUCGUGUUAUCAAAAGAUGGUGUAGUGGGACUAAUGACUAACCAUAGCGGUGAGGUCUUUGCGGCUCAUUCCUGGGCCUAGCGAGUCGAGCACCUGGAUGCAUCGCUGCCCGGCAUUUAUAACUGCUAGGUACCAAUGGAAGUGUUCAAUGUUAACUGGAAUGUAUAUCUGAAAAUAGGGUUUUUGUUAGUUUAGGUCCCAUCUAUACAAACAUUUAUAUGGAACUGAGACUCACCAUAUCAUGUUCCAAAUAAGUUAUAGCCAAUUCAAUUGGGGCAUAGAUAAUGAAAUUUGAUCAUCAUUACCUUGUGAUACAGCUAGCUGUGCCGGUGUUCCGUUAUGUAGGCCAUCUAUUUCCUCACUGGUAUUUUUUUUCUUUUGUAGGCUUCACGCCUUCUCUUAUUAAUCUCAUCUUUAUUUUUUGCAUACCGCUCUCUAUCCCUCUGCCUUUUUAGUUCCUUUGGGUCUGCAAAUCAUGAAACAGUUCAGCAGUUGUAAUACUGUAUCGAACUUGAGUGACUGGGUUAUGAUCAAUACAUGAUGUUUGGUUGUUGCUUAUAUCCUGGAAGGGGGUGCGCGUCCUGACUGGGUUAUGAUCAAUACCUGAUGUUUGGUUGUUGCUUAUAUCCUGGAAGGGGGUGCGCGUCCUGCUGGGAGUGGGGGUCCUGUUGGGAGUGGUAGGGCCCAUACGAAUACGAACUCCUGUAAAAACAUGUGAGAUCAUUAUAUUUAAUGGAGCGCAAGACCAUCAUUUAGAAUAUGGAACCAACAACCUCGAAAUGUAAUGCUGUACUUUAUAAUAGAUUCAAUCGCAAUUGUCGCUGUCAAGAGGCCUCAUGCAUAGGGUGUAUUUUCUUAUGGUCAUAUGAUUUUGAGGGGACAUCUUUGUAAUAGAUUCAAUCGCGAUUGUCGCUUUCGAUCAAGAGGCCUCAUGCAUAGAGUGUAUUUUCUUAUGGUCAUAUGAUUUUGACAGAACAUUGUGGCAAACUACAAAGAUUUGUUUCAGUCAUAGGUUAGGUCAGUGGUAUCAAAUUUUCAGUACCAUGGGGAUCUGCUGAGGAUCCGUGGUAUGAUUUCACUUGCUCAUGCACUUUAUGAUUGGUUUUCAUAACAUAUGCUCACGACAUAUGGUUCAUCUCUUGCAUCGAUUACAUGGACAAUCAUAGAUCCUAGUAUGUGGAUUAACCAUGGUUUCACUA